rnacentral:tRNA from 1 species
UGGCUCAGCAGUUAAGAGCACUGGCUGCUCUUCCAGAGGUCCUGGGUUCGAUUCCCAG